GGGGCUGUGGUUUAAGGGUAUAAUGCAUCCUUAGCAUGGAUGAGGUUCGGAGUUCGAGUCUCCGCUGCUCCA
rnacentral:tRNA from 1 species